UCCGGGUUGCGGGUUGCGGGCGCCGGGUUCCGGGGUUCCGGGUUCCGGGCGCCGGGUUCCGGGUUCCGGGUUCCGGGU
rnacentral:tRNA from 1 species